GGAGGGAUAGCUCAGUUUGGUAGAGCAGUAUAAAUGAAAAUUACACUUUAGUCAUGGUUCCACAGCAGUGUUGGUGUAGAUUAGAGUUACUUCAAAAAGCAUGUUGAAAGCUACGGGUCAUUGGUUCAAGUCCAAUUCCCUCCA
rnacentral:tRNA from 1 species